rnacentral:lncRNA from 1 species
GGCAAGUUAAAGGUCGAUCUCUAAAUUAAAGAUACUCCUUUCAGGCAUCGGCUUACCCUGAAUGAGUCAGGAGCCUCCGGCUAAUAGCUCUACAUUAUAUCCGAAUGUGGAGGAUUACAAAGUACCAAUAGGGUUGUCACCACAUACGGCCUACCUCUAGCAAUCCGUGGGAUGUAAGGCAAAUGAAGGAUAACCCCUAGCCUAGACACCACAUCUAAGCUAUUGAUUACUACUGCAGUCUAAUUAUGUUUGACGUCCCGUAGCAAACUACAACACUCUAUAUAAAUACAAAGUGACAAACCCGCAAGUAAAGAGAACUGAUCUCACUUGGAUAUAAGUACUACCAGUGUAGACUGUAUCAAGGUCUCAAGGUGUACAUGAGAGCAUACAUGUAUAUACAAUGGCAGUAAGGAUAUAUGACUAGAAUAUGAGCAUAUAAGCCAAGCAUAUAAACAUAGCAAGGAUAUAAGACUACUCAUGCAUAUAAGAAUAAAGUAUAACACUGUGGGAAGGAAUCACGAACACUUACUUAAAUCCAAAGAAUGUAGUAGCAUCCGUAGAGGUACAAGAUGGGAGGAGAGUGCCGACACUCCGGAACUCCUCCUGAACACCCCUCACUCUCUCCCUACUCUAAGCACAAGCUAGGAAAAGCUUUUGCCUUUGCAAUGAGGCUCUAAGGUCUCUUGGAUGGUGUGUCCUCAAGGCCCCCCCUCUACUAUUUAUAGAGUGGAGGUGCCUUGGGAGAGUAGAGAUUCUCCAAGCAUCUCAAAGAGGAUCU